rnacentral:rRNA from 1 species
UGGGGAAUAUUGCACAAUGGGCGCAAGCCUGAUGCAGCCAUGCCGCGUGUAUGAAGACGGCCUUCGGGUUGUAAAGUACUUUCAGCGGGGAGGAAGGGAGUAAAGUUAAUACCUUUGCUCAUUGACGUUACCCGCAGAAGAAGCACCGGCUAACUCCGUGCCAGCAGCCGCGGUAAUACGGAGGGUGCAAGCGUUAAUCGGAAUUACUGGGCGUAAAGCGCACGCAGGCGGUUUGUUAAGUCAGAUGUGAAAUCCUCGGGCUCAACUUGGGAACUGCAUCUGAUACUGGCAAGCUUGAGUCUCGGAGAGGGGGGUAGAAUUCCAGGUGUAGCGGUGAAAUGCGUAGAGAUCUGGAGGAAUACCGGUGGCGAAGGCGGCCCCCUGGACGAAGACUGACGCUCAGGUGCGAAAGCGUGGGGAGCAAACAGG